rnacentral:rRNA from 1 species
AGUGAACGCUGGCGGUAGGCCUAACACAUGCAAGUCGAACGGCAGCACAGUAAGAGCUUGCUCUUACGGGUGGCGAGUGGCGGACGGGUGAGGAAUACAUCGGAAUCUACUUUUUCGUGGGGGAUAACGUAGGGAAACUUACGCUAAUACCGCAUACGACCUACGGGUGAAAGCAGUGGAUCUUCGGACCUUGCGCGAUUGAAUUAGCCGAUGUCGGAUUAGCUAGUUGGCGGGGUAAAGGCCCACCAAGGCGACGAUCCGUAGCUGGUCUGAGAGGAUGAUCAGCCACACUGGAACUGAGACACGGUCCAGACUCCUACGGGAGGCAGCAGUGGGGAAUAUUGGACAAUGGGCGCAAGCCUGAUCCAGCCAUACCGCGUGGGUGAAGAAGGCCUUCGGGUUGUAAAGCCCUUUUGUUGGGAAAGAAAAGCAGUAGGUUAAUACCCCGCUGUUCUGACGGUACCCAAAGAAUAAGCACCGGCUAACUUCGUG